rnacentral:rRNA from 1 species
GAUGAACGCUGGCGGCGUGCCUAAUACAUGCAAGUCGAGCGCAGCGGGGACGGGUGAGUAACACGUGGAAAACCGCGUAUAAGACUGGGACAACUUGGGGAAACAGGAGCAAAACGGGAUAAUGAGAGAUGGAUCCUCGCUGCAGUAGCUAGUUGGUAAGGUAACGGCUUACCAAGGCAACGAUGCAUAGCCGACCUGAGAGGGUGAUCGGCCACACUGGAACUGAGACACGGUCCAGACUCCUACGGGAGGCAGCAGUAGGGAAUCUUCCGCAAUGGGCGAAAGCCUGACGGAGCAACGCCGCGUGAGUGAUGAAGGUCUUCGGAUCGUAAAACUCUGUUAUUAGGGAAGCGGUACCUAAUCAGAAAGCCACGGCUAACUACGUGCCAGUAGCCGCGGUAAUUC